rnacentral:rRNA from 1 species
AUUGAACGCUGGCGGCAGGCUUAACACAUGCAAGUCGAGCAGGGAAGGGUAGCUUGCUACCUGACCUAGCGGCGGACGGGUGAGUAAUGCUUAGGAAUCUGCCUAUUAGUGGGGGACAACAUUCCGAAAGGAAUGCUAAUACCGCAUACGCCCUACGGGGGAAAGCAGGGGAUCUUCGGACCUUGCGCUAAUAGAUGAGCCUAAGUCAGAUUAGCUAGUUGGUGGGGUAAAGGCCUACCAAGGCGACGAUCUGUAGCGGGUCUGAGAGGAUGAUCCGCCACACUGGGACUGAGACACGGCCCAGACUCCUACGGGAGGCAGCAGUGGGGAAUAUUGGACAAUGGGCGAAAGCCUGAUCCAGCCAUGCCGCGUGUGUGAAGAAGGCCUUUUGGUUGUAAAGCACUUUAAGCGAGGAGGAGGCUACUUGGAUUAAUACUCUAGGAUAGUGGACGUUACUCGCAGAAUAAGCACCGGCUAACUCUGUGCCAGCAGCCGCGGUAAUACAGAGGGUGCGAGCGUUAAUCGGAUUUACUGGGCGUAAAGCGUGCGUAGGCGGCUUUUUAAGUCGGAUGUGAAAUCCCUGAGCUUAACUUAGGAAUUGCAUUCGAUACUGGGAAGCUAGAGUAUGGGAGAGGAUGGUAGAAUUCCAGGUGUAGCGGUGAAAUGCGUAGAGAUCUGGAGGAAUACCGAUGGCGAAGGCAGCCAUCUGGCCUGAUACUGACGCUGAGGUACGAAAGCAUGGGGAGCAAACAGGAUUAGAUACCCUGGUAGUCCAUGCCGUAAACGAUGUCUACUAGCCGUUGGGGCCUUUGAGGCUUUAGUGGCGCAGCUAACGCGAUAAGUAGACCGCCUGGGGAGUACGGUCGCAAGACUAAAACUCAAAUGAAUUGACGGGGGCCCGCACAAGCGGUGGAGCAUGUGGUUUAAUUCGAUGCAACGCGAAGAACCUUACCUGGUCUUGACAUAGUAAGAACUUUCCAGAGAUGGAUUGGUGCCUUCGGGAACUUACAUACAGGUGCUGCAUGGCUGUCGUCAGCUCGUGUUGUGAGAUGUUGGGUUAAGUCCCGCAACGAGCGCAACCCUUUUCCUUAUUUGCCAGCGGGUUAAGCCGGGAACUUUAAGGAUACUGCCAGUGACAAACUGGAGGAAGGCGGGGACGACGUCAAGUCAUCAUGGCCCUUACGACCAGGGCUACACACGUGCUACAAUGGUCGGUACAAAGGGUUGCUACCUAGCGAUAGGAUGCUAAUCUCAAAAAGCCGAUCGUAGUCCGGAUUGGAGUCUGCAACUCGACUCCAUGAAGUCGGAAUCGCUAGUAAUCGCGGAUCAGAAUGCCGCGGUGAAUACGUUCCCGGGCCU